rnacentral:rRNA from 1 species
UGGGGAAUUUUGGACAAUGGGCGAAAGCCUGAUCCAGCAAUGCCGCGUGUGUGAAGAAGGCCUUCGGGUUGUAAAGCACUUUUGUCCGGAAAGAAAUCCUUGGCUCUAAUACAGUCGGGGGAUGACGGUACCGGAAGAAUAAGCACCGGCUAACUACGUGCCAGCAGCCGCGGUAAUACGUAGGGUGCAAGCGUUAAUCGGAAUUACUGGGCGUAAAGCGUGCGCAGGCGGUUUGCUAAGACCGAUGUGAAAUCCCCGGGCUCAACCUGGGAACUGCAUUGGUGACUGGCAGGCUAGAGUAUGGCAGAGGGGGGUAGAAUUCCACGUGUAGCAGUGAAAUGCGUAGAGAUGUGGAGGAAUACCGAUGGCGAAGGCAGCCCCCUGGGCCAAUACUGACGCUCAUGCACGAAAGCGUGGGGAGCAAACAGGAUUAGAUACCCUGGUAGUCCACGCCCUAAAACGAUGUCAACUGUUGUUGGGGAUUCAUUUCCUUAGUAACGUAGCUAACGCGUGAAGUUGACCGCCUGGGGAGUACGGUCGCAAGAUUAAAACUCAAAUGAAUUGACGGGGUCAUAGCUGUUUCCU